rnacentral:lncRNA from 1 species
UUCAUUCUUUGAUUUUUGAGAACACAAACUCGCCUUUUGAACAUCUAACAGGUUUGGGAGGUACAUCUCUUCCCCCUACACUGCUACCAGGCUUUUGCUCAAAACAAAUCACAUGGUUAGAUCUGAAGUUGAGAGGCCAGGAAGUACACUGUGCUUCUGAAUGUGAAAGACCCCAUUGUCCCCCUGCAAGAGGAGGGAUUCAGGAAAACGAGAAGAACAUGCAACCAGGAACUCUUCUCUACCAUUCUUACAUGGAUGGAGAGUUAUGUGCAGACAAAGGGC